UAGAGCGCACCCCUGAUAAGGUGAGGUCGGUGGUUCAAGUCCACUCAGGCCUACCAAAUUUUCCCUGAAUACUGCGUUGUGAAAUAACUCACAUACUGAUGUAUGCUUCGUUAUUCCACGCCUUGUCUCAGGAAAAAUUAUCGGUAAAGAGGUUCUGACUACACGAUGGGGCUAUAGCUCAGCUGGGAGAGCGCCUGCUUUGCACGCAGGAGGUC
rnacentral:misc_RNA from 1 species